ACUUAUACCAUUGGGCACUGCUUGGAAUCAAUGGAUCUAAUUUGUCAAUUUUAAGGUUGGAACAAGCUGUGGUUACAUUGUUCAUUCCUUCUUAAUGAGUUGCCUAGUGUCUGGAGACUAUGCUGGCUGUCCUGUAAAAUUAAUCUUGGCUGAGUUGGAUUCUUAGGCAUUGGCGUCUUGGUGAGUUAAAGUUGCAGUUUCAGACGAGUAACAUCGGUUAGUGAACUCUUGUGUGUCUGUGUGGGUGAAGCUUUAAGCUAAGCAAGUCCUCAAUGUACCGUCAUAUUGUAAUCGAUAUCAGAUAUGAAUAAGAAAAAUGUUGGCCAGAAUUUGGGCAGAAAAUUAGGCCUGAACUUUUUUUGUAUGGUUCUAUGCCUCUUAAAACACUCCGCUGCUCUAGUCAGAAAAGUAUGUACCCGAGGUACAGAUCUGAUGGGUUCACCUAUGAUUUCUCACAAUCCUUCGUUGAGUUGUGAAGCGCAUGGACAUAUUUGGGAGGGUUAUUGGUUUGAAGACAGAGUUUGUGGUUACAGAUACUGCAAUCUGAUUGUCAAGAAUGUGAAAAAAGCCUGCAGCUAUUUGGCAAAUAGGUUUGGCUUUUCUCUGAUCAUGUUAACUUUUCGUUUGGAUAAUGUGAAUUUUCAUGUCCAUUUGAACAUUACAUAUUCCACUAUGUUACAGUUGCCCAGUAACCGAAGGGACCUGGAGUGGAAUUUUUGUGUGGAUCUAAGAUCUUAAGCCACUAUCAAGUUUGCUAUUUCUCCUCAUGUUAUUGCUGGUGAUUGCAACUUUCUGUCUCAGAGUUCGAUGGUGACACAAUAUCCUGAAUUUUUUGUACAAUGGUAACCAUCGGGACACCUUAGCUGUUGUGAUUUUUGCGUUAGUUGGGUCGGCCCAGUAGCGUGACCCUUCGAACGCCAGUUACCUAAACCGGCAUGUUCUGAAUCUCUUGAAAUCGCAGCUUCACAAACUCCAAUGUGAAAACGUUGCGGAACGCAUUAGCUCCAUGAAGCUGAAUUCAAGAAGCUAUCUUCGCUCCUAGUGCAUUUAUAAGAAGCAAGGAAAACUGAGCUUCACGUCACUAAUUAAUACUUCCUCCGUUUCAAAAUUCUUGUCUUAAAUUUGUCUAGAUAUGAAUGUAUCUAGUCACGUUUUAGUAUUUCGAUACAUCCAUUUCUAGACAAACCUAAGACAAGAAUUUUGAGACGGAGGGAGUAGAAUCUAGUGUUCCAACUAUUUACAAGUUGUUGUCACUGCCCCAGAUAACACAACAGCAAAACGUCGUGAGCUGCACAGGGGCCACUAAGAAAUGCAGAGCCUAGAGCCCAAGCAAAAAUAAGCCUAGAACCAACGGCCCAUCCCCAACGAAGAUUAAUCACCAAGAUUUCUAGUGUUCUUUGAAUCCCAUUCAGUCAUUAGUAAUAUUUACAAGAGUGUCAGCAGAGCCUCCAUGCAUCUAGGCAGCAAAAACCUUGCUAAGAUGUGUACAACAUAGUUACACUACAUCCACACCUGGUCCUAAGUUAAGGGUUUAAGUAAGUAAAGGGCAUUCUCAAUAAAUCAAAGUGAAGCAGAUGAGCCAAAAAUGGAAACUCAUGUACUGCAAUUCCGGCACGAGACAGAGCGUAAAAUGCACUCGCUACAAAAUGCAAAGCGCAUGUUUGCUACCCGGCUUGUAGCAGGAAAAAAGAAGUAUAAUUAAACUUGUCGAUACACACCUAAUCUCGUGAGCUGCCUACCGUUUGGAGACUAUGCUCACUCUCCUGUAAAAUUGAUCUUGGCUCAAUUGGAUUCUUAGGCAUUGGCAUCUUAGAGCAUCUCUAGUAGAACCCUCAAACCCUUAAAUGUAAAACCAGUUUUAAGGGUUGAGAAUUGUCCAUUUUUAACACUUUUAAGGGUUGAAAAACAGGGGCAAAGACUAGAACCCUCAAACCCAACCCUUAUAACGGAAUAUUCCUUUAUAAGGGUUGGGUUUGAGGGUUCUAGUCUUUGCCCCAACCCCAAACCUUAAAACUGUCAUUUGACAUUGCAUAAUUUUCACAAGACAAACAUAAUAAACCUUGAAACAAACACGGAAAUAAAGAUCAUUGAUGCAUAGUUUAAUAGUUUUUACAUCACACAAUCAUCAUCUUCCCCCUCUCAUCGGCACCAUCACCAAAAAGUUGCACUUGGCGCCAUUUCCUAGACCACUUGCACGUCCAUCAAGCACCUCCAUUGGAGUCAUCCACACCGCCAUCGCCAGCACCACUCAUCGGAGUGUCACCUCGAAGAGUAGAGGACGCACCACGGAAUAUCCUCUUCCUCUCUGCGAUGUCCUCCUUGUAGUCCUUCCACCAUUGCAAUUGUUCUUCAUCCAUGUCCUUCUUGGACAUCAUCAUGUGCUCCUUCUCUUCCACCAUGAGUUCUUUCCAUACCUUUGCCUCUUUCACCUUGAUCAUCCUCUCCUCCAAGUCGGCCUUGCGCUUUGCUUCUUCACGUUUUGCUUCUUCACGUUUUGCUUCAACAUGUGCAAGCUUGACCUCUUUCUUCUUCUCGGUGAUAAGAAUCUUCGUCUCCAAUGUCUUCCUUGUCAAUUCCUCUCUUGGCUUCAUCAUUUGCUCCAUCUUCUCCCUUAGGCUUGAUGCCUCUCCUUCCAUUUUCACCCUUUGCUUGCCCUUCUUGGUUCCCUCGGGCUUGCCCAAGUUCCUCUCCUUCUCCUCAUCUUCACCAUCAUCCAUCCUAAGCGGUUAUUUUUAAGGGUUUGAGGGUUUGAGGGUUCUACUAGAGAUGCUCUUAGUGAGUUAAAGUUGCAGUUUCCGGCGAGUAACAUUGGUUAGUGAACUCUUGUGUGUGUGUGAGUUAAGCAAGUCCUCAAUGUAUUGACUAUCAAGUCAUAUUGUAAUUCAGAUAUAAAUGAAAAUUUGUUGGCCUGAAUUUGGCACAAAAAAAAGAGUGACUUUCUGUAUAUAUGAUUGUUGUAUGCAUCUAUGACUUCUUAAAAUAUUCUGCUGCUGUAGGCGGAAAAGUGUGUACUGAGGCACGGAUCCAAUGGAUUCAUCUCUGAUUUCACAACACUUGGUUUGAGUGGUGAAGCACAUAACCAUAUUUGGGGCAGUUACCAGUCAGAAGAUAUUUUGGUUUGAGAUACUGCNAACGCCAGAUUGCUCAAGACGAGGAGUCCACUUGCCACCACCGCAAGCGCCCGGCUUCCAAGGCCUGCUCUUCGAUGCCUGCCAAUGCCAAUGCUGCUGCACCCGGUGUGAAGAAGGUCUCUCGUCCCGUCGCUUCCAAGGCUUGCUCCUUCCUCGGCUCUACACCACUGCCUGCCCAUGCCACUGCUCUGAAGAAGAUGACGACUCCAGCAGCUUCAACUCUGCGCGCAAGAAGGGGGAUGGGGGAGCUCAGCUGCAAGAUUCCCAAGCAAAGCGGUGUCACUGCUGCAGCACCAAGGAGGCAACCAAUCCCUUGCUUGAGUCCAGUGGUAUUGCGCCUUCGCUAGUCUUCUUUUAGCUUCCUUAACCAUGCAUGCAUUAGUUUCAUUUAAUCUUUGUUUCUCUAGGUUCUGCACUUGCUUACCAAGAUUCCUAGUGUUCUUUCAAUCCCUCUCAGUCAUUUGUAAUUUUACAGUGUCAACAGAGUCUCCAUCUAGCUAGGCAGCAAAAACCAUGUUAAGAUGUGUACGGCACAGUUACACUACAUCCACACCUGGUCCUAAGUGAAGGGUUUAAGUAAAUAAAGGGCAUUUUCAAUAAACUAAAGUAAAGCAGAUGAGCCAAAAAUGGAAACUCAUGUACUGCAAUUCUGGCACGAGACAUAAAACGCACUCGCUGCAAAAUGCAAAACGCCCGUUUGCUACCCGGCUUGUAGCAGGAAAAAGGAGUAGAAUUGAACUUGCCGGUACACACACACACACGUAAUCUUGUGAGCUGCCUAGUGUCUGGAGACUGUGCUGGCUGUCCUGUAAAAUUAAUCUUGGCUGAGUUGGAUUCUUAGGCAUCGGCGUCUUGGUGAGUUAAAGUUGUAGUUUCCGACGAGUAACAUUGGUUAGUGAACUCUUGUGUGUAUGUGUGGGUGAAGCUUUGAGCUAAGCAAGUCCUCACUGUAUGGACUAUCAAGUCGUUUUGUAAUCGAUUUCAGAUAUGAAUGAAAAAUUGUUGGCCUGAAUUUGUGCAGAGCAUUUGAGUAACUCUGUAUUUUUUUAUGGUUCUAUGCCUCUUAAAACACUCUGCUGCUCUAGUCAGAAAAGUAUGUACCCGAGGCACACAUGAUUUCACAAUCUUUUUUUCAGUUGUGAGGCGCAUGGACAUGUUUGGGAGAGUUAUUGGUUUGAAGACAGAUUUUGUGGUUACAGAUACUGCAAUAUGAUUGUCAAGAAUGUGAAAAAGGCUGCAGCUGUUUGGCAAAUAGUUUUGGCUUUUCUCAGAUCGUGUUAUAGUGAUAGCAGCCUUACGUUCUCUGGCUCCUUGAGAAAAUUUCCAGUUCAAUUAGAAAUUGCACUGUCCAUCCUAACAUCUUUACCAAGCAACCAAAUAUUGGACUUAUACCAUUGGGCACUGCUUGGAAUCAAUGGAUCUAAUUUGUCAAUUUUAAGGUUGGAACAAGCUGUGGUUACAUUGUUCAUUCCUUCUUAAUGAGUUGCCUAGUGUCUGGAGACUAUGCUGGCUGUCCUGUAAAAUUAAUCUUGGCUGAGUUGGAUUCUUAGGCAUUGGCGUCUUGGUGAGUUAAAGUUGCAGUUUCAGACGAGUAACAUCGGUUAGUGAACUCUUGUGUGUCUGUGUGGGUGAAGCUUUAAGCUAAGCAAGUCCUCAAUGUACCGUCAUAUUGUAAUCGAUAUCAGAUAUGAAUAAGAAAAAUGUUGGCCAGAAUUUGGGC
rnacentral:lncRNA from 1 species